rnacentral:lncRNA from 1 species
CAGAACCUUCUGAGGCACAGAACACACCAAAGACAAGGCCCUGUGGAAGAAAGAUGUAGAAAUAUGAGCACUUUCUAGGAAGAGACCAGAGAACAGUGUGUUCGACAGCAGGACAGAGUGAAGACAGAUAAAUGCAGUUACUCCCCAGUUCAGUGUCUCCAGUCAGUCUGAGAUAAGGGGGAAAAAAAAGAAAGUCACAGAAAGCAAGAGACAGGAGGGCAAAAAGUAGAAGUCGUAAGCAGGAAAAAGAAAAGGAAAAGGUAAGUAGG